AAUUGAAAAUUCCCCGUAUUCUGCUUGUCAUUUUUCCGCUUGGCUGUGGUUUACCUCGGUGCCUCUGUGUAACAUUACCAUGUCUUGAAGCUGCCUGCACCAGUGAGGCAUCCCACUGCUGUGUGCUGUGUCAGAGAUGAACUAUGUGCUGCUGCCACUGCGUAGGCUGUAACAACUUAGGCCGGCUGUUGGAAACCUGCCCAUUUUGCUGAGAGGAAGCAAGUGCUCUGUUCCACAACACUGGUUCUGCACAUGGACAGAGGUCAAAUUCUUCUGCAAAUAGAUGGCAUCAAGACAGACAUUCAUUAAUAAGCCAGCUAUGCACAGGCACUCCUUCCUUUGGGGGCCAGUGGAACCAGGAAUCCUGGUCGGUCAACUUAGCAUCCUGCUGAGCGAGUGACUCCUUCUAGUGCAUUACAACCAUUACCCAGUGCUAAUGUCGACAUGGAAUUUGAUAAUGAACUAGAUGGAGAGAUUAAAGGAGGUGACAGAAAGCCCAAAUCCCCCUAGCUUAUGGCAAGUGCUGUAUUUCCAUGGACAAAAUGGGCCGGACAAAAUGGAUGUGAAAGAACCAUGCUUUGAUUUUGACAGAAUUCUUUAAAAACAAACUUAUGGCAUUUUCCUUGUCUGACUGACUUUGAGUUCUCCUGGGUAUGAAGCCCUGUGCAAGUUUCAUUUUCUGAAAGUCCACAGCAACAGUGAAGGCCCCUGGUAGAAACAGUCUGAUGAAAGAGCAUUUGCCACUGACAUACCUGGUCUAUCAUCCCUGCAAGGUGAACUUCAGAGCUAUCUAUCAGUAGGAAAGGUUAAAUAAUGAGGAAAAUCAGGAAUAGGUUGCUGAAGGUAUCAUGCAUGAGGCUUGCCAGUAUCACUGUCUCCUAGCAACAGGAGUCCUUGGAGGUUAACGGGAGCCAGACUGGAGAAGGGCCCCUUGAGUUGCAUUGAACAGAAAUAUUCUUCUGAAGCUAGUCACAUGAGUUUGCCAAACAAGAGGCCCUGGUUGAGGUUGUAUUCUCCUAAACCGUGUUUGACACUUUUAGACAGCUGAGGGGCACAGUACAUCUCACCCUGAAACUCCAAAGGCAAAAAAAAAGCUGCUAUUAUUAAGUAAUGGACUUCGAAGCUGUACUUUAGUCAAAGAAAAUAAAUUAACUCACCAACUGAGUUAUAACUUCCUGCCUAAUUGUGCUUUUCUGAAGCAAAUAUGUGUUUGUUGCUUUGAAACUUUUCUGCUGAUUUUGCAAAGGCAGUUAAUAGUAGUUAAUAAGGCUGGUUAUUUUCAACUUUUUUGGCUAUGACCUGUUACUUUUGUGCAUCCUCAUUUUAUAUUACUUUCAUCAUUUUAUAGAUGGGCUUUAUUUAUAUAUAUUCUUAUCACCAUUGUCCACCCUAUAACUGCCACUUCAGGGCUAUUCACACUGGCGAUUUCGACCUCGGUUUAGGCCCAAUCACUGCAGCUAUGUCCCUGCACAUUGAAAUAUCUCAUUGAAAUAUUUCUUGACCCAAGUAAAUUAAAUAUUUUGUACAGCAUAACAAUUGUCACUUCUUGAACUCCCCCUAUGUUGUUCAUAUUACUUUCUAAUGAGAACAAUAGUGCUCAUGCUUAACAGGAAGUACAGCUGAUCAUGAUGAAAAGCUAUCGCUGCCCAUUUCUGUGAAAGCAAAGAAAGUGGGUUUAUUUUAUUGCACCGUGGUUUACUUGCCAGUGUGAAUGUCCCUUGUAUUUAUCUUUUACUUCAAAUUUCCUGAGUGACUUUCUUUGGUAAGAAUGGAAGUUCCUUUUGAAAAUCAGCAUGAUCAUAUUAUUUUUACAAUAGUAAUUAAAUUUUUGGUCACAUGGAUUUUGGCAAAGCUCACCCUAUAAGUAACAAACUUUUCUUUUGUUCUUCUUCAAGUUUGCUGAGUGGGUUUGUUUAGUGAGUAUACAUUCUUUUUGAAAAUCAGCAUGAUCAGAUAUCUUUAGACAGGUUAUGUGUUAUGUUGUUGUGCAUGUAUUUUGGUUAUGCUCACCCCAUCAGUGACAAACUGUACUUUUGUUUUACUGAAAUUUGUUGAACAGUUUGUUGUGUAAAAAAGCUUUAGUUAAAAAAUCAAAUAUAUUGGUUAAUUGCCACACAAUACUGCACAUUUUGUGAUGUUUUGCAAUCCUGUUGUCCAGUGUUUUCUUUUAAAAACAGUUAAUUGAGCUUUGUAAACAUUUUAAAAUUGUAUCAGAAUUAUUGAUUUUUUAAGUAACUGGGAGUGACUUUUUCCAAUUUUUUGACUUCUAUGAAUAAUGUGGUUGCAGCAUUUCUAUAUUAGUCAAUAUUUCAAAUAAAGAGCUUAACUUGUGCACAUGGUACAAAUUGAGGACUUGCAUAAACUAGCAAGUUCAGUACAAAAAAGCUGACGUGUUUUGAAAAGCAGGUAUACACUUUUUAGGAAGUUGCUCACUGUUAUCACUGAAAAGUUGAUUUUUUAAUUGCUAUGCUCACUGAAAUAUUUUAGUUUAUGUUAAAAUGGAGCAAUGGGGAUAACUUUUUUUCUGUUAAGGGUCUGUAUAUCUGAACUGCUUUGCUGUCUACUUCUAUUUGAAUACUCGUAGAUUGGAUACAAAUAUGCAUUGUUUCAAAAGUCAUGCUUCAAGUUUGCCCCAUAAUUACGAAUUAUACCAAAUAAUUUCACCUUAUAAAUGGUUAAGAUUUCUUAGAAAUAUAUAUUGACUUUCUGUUGCAUCAAGCAGUAAAGUACAACUGGUAAAGA
rnacentral:lncRNA from 1 species